rnacentral:miRNA from 1 species
UUUAAUAUAUCAGGGACUUGGA